rnacentral:lncRNA from 1 species
GGGUGGGCAUCACUCUUCAUGAGUCAUGGAUCUUAUCUCUUUCCUGAUUUGAAUUCAAUCCGAAUCAAGGAUAAGGAGAUAAGAAGGAAAGAGAUCCAUUUAGUUUGGAAAGAUGGGUGAUGCCAAAUAUUUUUUUCUUUUUGUGCGUUGAAGGUUUUGUUGGCAUGAGAAAGAUCUGAUUUCUUUCUCAUGCCAUCACAUAAUCUUAGAAAUUUUUGGAUGCUCUGUAUGGAUGUGGCGUGG